CCUACGAGAGGCAGCAGUGAGGAAUAUUGGUCAAUGGGCGCGAGCCUGAACCAGCCAAGUAGCGUGAAGGAUGACUGCCCUACGGGUUGUAAACUUCUUUUAUAAAGGAAUAAAGUGAGGCACGUGUGCCUUUUUGUAUGUACUUUAUGAAUAAGGAUCGGCUAACUCCGUUCCAGCAGCCGCGGUAAUACGGCGGAGCCGAGCGUUAUCCGGAUUUAUUGGGUUGAAAGGGAGCGUAGAUGGGUUGUUAAGUCAGAUGUGAAAGUUUGCGGCUCAACCGUAAAAUUGCAAUGGAUACUGGCAGUCUUGAGUACAGUUGAGGUAGGCGGAAUUCGUGGUGGAGCGGUGAAAUGCUUAGAUAUCACGAAGAACUCCGAUUGCGAAGGCAGCUUACUAAACUGCCACUGACAUUGAUGCUCGAAAGUGUGGGUAUCAAACAGGAUUAGAUACCCGUGUAGUC
rnacentral:rRNA from 1 species